UACGAAGGGGGCUAGCGUUGUUCGGAUUUACUGGGCGUAAAGCGCACGUAGGCGGUUUGUUAAGUCAGGGGUGAAAUCCCAGAGCUCAACUCUGGAACUGCCUUUGAUACUGGCAAGCUCGAGUCCGGAAGAGGUAAGUGGAACUCCUAGUGUAGAGGUGGAAUUCGUAGAUAUUAGGAAGAACACCAGUGGCGAAGGCGGCUUACUGGUCCGGAACUGACGCUGAGACGCGAAGCGUGGGAGCGAACAG
rnacentral:rRNA from 1 species